UGGUUGAUCCUGCCAGUAGUCAUAUGCUUGUCUCAAAGAUUAAGCCAUGCAUGUCUAAGUACACACUUUGGUAAAGUGAAACCGCGAAUGGCUCAUUAAAUCAGCUACAAUUUAUUAGAUCGUACACUGUUACUUGGAUAACUGUGGGAAUUCUAGAGCUAAUACAUGCCGAGAGUCUCUGCUCUUCGGGGCAGAGCGCAGUUAUUAGACCAAAACCAGCCGUAUUCUUCGGGGUACGCUCUUUUGGUGACUCUGGAUAACCUUCAGCCGAUCGCAUGGCCUCGUGCCGGCGACGUAUCUUUCAAGUGUCUGCCCUAUCAACUUUCGAUGGUACGUGAUAUGCCUACCAUGGUGAUAACGGGUAACGGGGAAUCAGGGUUCGAUUCCGGAGAGGGAGCCUGAGAAAUGGCUACCACAUCCAAGGAUGGCAGCAGGCGCGCAAAUUACCCACUCCCAGCUUGGGGAGGUAGUGACGAAAAAUAACAAUGCGGGACUCUAAGAGGCCCCGUAAUUGGAAUGAGUACACCUUAAAUCGUUUAACGAGUAUCAAUUGGAGGGCAAGUCUGGUGCCAGCAGCCGCGGUAAUUCCAGCUCCAAUAGCGUAUAUUAAAGUUGCUGCAGUUAAAAAGCUCGUAGUUGGAUCUGGGGCUUGAGGUCGCUGUCUAUCGUUUCGGCGAUGACGGUGAUGCUCAGCUCUGCUUGCCGGUGACUGUUGCGGUGUUCUUCACUGAGCGCUGUAGCAGCACGGCACGUUUACUUUGAAAAAAUUAGAGUGCUCAAAGCGUGCUUGUCGCUUGAAUAAUGUUGCAUGGAAUAAUGGAAUAGGACCUCGGUUCUAUUUUGUUGGUUUUCGGAGCUUGAGGUAAUGAUUAAGAGGGACGAACGGGGGCAUUCGUAUUGCGGUGUUAGAGGUGAAAUUCUUGGAUCGCCGCAAGACGGACUACUGCGAAAGCAUUUGCCAAGAACGCUUUCAUUAAUUAAGAACGAAAGUCAGAGGUUCGAAGACGAUCAGACACCGUCCUAGUUCUGACCAUAAACGAUGCCGACCAGCGAUCCGUAGUGGUUGCUUUAUGGACCCUACGGGCAGCCUCCGGGAAACCAAAGUAUUUGGGUUCCGGGGGAAGUAUGGUUGCAAAGCUGAAACUUAAAGGAAUUGACGGAAGGGCACACCAGGAGUGGAGCCUGCGGCUUAAUUUGACCCAACACGGGAAAACUCACCCGGUCCGGACACCGUAAGGAUUGACAGACUGAUAGCUCUUUCUUGAUUCGGUGGAUGGUGGUGCAUGGCCGUUCUUAGUUGGUGGAGUGAUUUGUCUGGUUAAUUCCGAUAACGAACGAGACUCUAGCCUGCUAAGUAGUGUUGCUAUUGUUAUAUGGUUGACACUUCUUAGAGGGACAAGUGCC
rnacentral:rRNA from 1 species